GCGCCGGGAGCGGGCGGGCAGCGCGGGCCGGGGCCGCGGGCAGUGCCCGCAGCUGCGGGAGGACGGGGCAGGGGAGCGCGGCGUGGCGGGGCUGCCACCGAAGGGUCGCACCGCGCUUGCAGCAGCGGGGUCGCGCCUUGAGGCAGAGCGUGCGCAGCGCUGCCAGGGACAGGCGACAGCGACAGACGAGCGACAACGCGACACAAAGACUCUGCCAGGGCUCCCGCUGCGCGGGCACCGGGUAGAGGGUGCGGGGAAGGGACAGCGGAUCCAUGGAGGGACACAGGGCGGUGCGGUGCUCCACGGGGCCUCUCCCUCAAACGGUGUACAGGGGUAUACAGCCAAAAAAUCUGAGAAACGCGUGGAAGGAAGCAGAUUCCCUGUUACCCCGCAGCGUGUGAAGGUACCUUCCUCAGAGUUAAUGCCCAUGGCAAGAGAGAUUAUAAUGGUAUGAAGUCAUUCGUGGUGCAGGCUAAUAGAAGCCUUCUCUGUCAGGCCUAGAUUAUAAGGAACUAACCCUGUUUUUCAAAUCCACCGGUAUUUAACUCCCCAUAAAACUGCAUUACUCCGUGGUCCGUUUAGGAUUUCCAUUUUGUUUAGUGCAAGCAGUUGGCUAGUAUGUCUCUGCCCCUUCCUGAGCAGCUACUACAUGUCUGUGAAUGCUUUGCAGGCCUGCCAGCUUCAGGAAAAUUCAGCAGCUGGAAGGGAGAAACAUGGGACAUAAACAGCCCCUGAUAUUUAAACCCCUGGAACCAGAGAAACUGUGGGCAACAAUUCCCAGUCUUCUCACCUCUGUCCUUCAGCCAUCCAAUUCCAACACUGGGCACAGCACACAACAAUGGCAAGACUGUGGUCUGGAAAUCCAUCAGACUCAAGCCUGCUAGAGAGCUGCCUGGUCCUGUGAUGAAUUGGUUUGGAAUUGCCUGGAGCACCUGAAGAAGGAAGGGGGUUAGAAGGUGCACAAGAUUCUGGGUACAGGUGACAUCUUAGCAACUGGAGCCAGAUCAUGCACACAACUCAUUGUAAACACAUCCAAACCCCAAAAUUCAGUUAUAUUUGCUUGUGGCUUUUGUGAAUAUGCAGUUUCUAUUAAUGGUAUCUUCAUGACUCCAUUACUUACAUGGAUAAGUCCAAAAAGCAUCACAAAGAAACUCACCACAUGGGUGAAAAGAUAAAACAUAUAUUGACAGUUUUCCUUUCCUUCAAAUUCUUCAGUCACUUGUGCUAUUCCUAUUCUUAAGUUCUAUUCAUUAGCAUAUAAAUCUGAGGAAGAAAGUGCAUAAAAAAACUUGUAAAGAUUUAAAAAACCAUAAAUGGGGCAAUGGAUUAUAAGUGGAUUAUUACUAGGUAUGAGAAAUGAUGUGUGAUGUUUUUUGUGGCAACAAGAUGGAAGAGUGGGACACUGUCUGUUAGCUGAUGCUUUAAAAAGACACAAACUGUGGGUUGUAUUUUCAGCUUAGUUUUCUGGGAGCUGGAUUCAGUGGGUUAGUUUUUCCUGUAUAACCUCCAAAUUCAUGAGAGUUUUGUUUUCAUUUAUUUUUAUUAAUAAACAAAAUGAAGCAUGCAUAAAUAACAGAAGAAACCAAGUUUUCUGGAAAAUUCCUAAAUAAGGACAGCUUGGAAUGGAAGGACCACACAUCAGCUGCCAUACAAACAGGUUCACAUUAAACAACCUGAAGUUCUUGACAUUUCCAGAGUGAAUUCUUGGUUUUACCUGUUGUAGUUCCUCUGCAAUGAUGACUGACACGGGACACUUGACAGCAAGAUGUGAUCUGAAAUAUGGAGAACACUUAGAUAAUAUAGCAAAGGAACGGAAAUCAUGGCAAGACCUGGACAGUUGGAUUCAUUUCCUUUAGUACAUUGAAGCUACCUACAUGUAUAGAGGGAAAUUAUGGUUAGUUCUUAAAACUAGAAAUUCCGUCUAUUGAGCAGCUGGGACUGAAGUAUUCAAACCAUGGACAGAUGGAAGACUGAGCAGCUGCAUGUUACAAUCCAGAGAGUACUCACCUCUGCAGAUGGCAACGGUUGCUUGCUGUUAGCAAGUCAAUAAUGCAUUUUAAGUGGCUUUUAGUGGAAGCUUUCUUGGUUUGUAUCUGCCACUAUUUAAAAAGAGCUUUGUUCAUGAUUGUCCUCUUGGUGUUGCCUUUCUAACCCACAAGUAUGCUUCACCAUUUUGCAGGGCCGUUCCAGAAGCAGAUCUAGAGCUCUGAUGAGUGCUCACACUUCAUUGAUCACCACUAUAAAACACUUACACAGCUGAGGGGAAAUUCUACCUUAAAAAAAAACCCAAAACACCUUUAUAAGAAAGUUUGGGGCAGAAAUGCAAAGGGACAGA